rnacentral:tRNA from 1 species
GGGGUAGCUCAGCUGGUUAGAGCAUCGGAUUCAUAUCCGCCGCGGCGGACGGCAGUUCAAGACUGACGUCUCUU